AGCGAACGCUGGCGGCAGGCCUAACACAUGCAAGUCGAACGAAGUCUUCGGACUUAGUGGCGGACGGGUGAGUAACACGUGGGAACGUGCCUUUAGGUUCGGAAUAACUCAGGGAAACUUGUGCUAAUACCGAAUGUGCCCUUCGGGGGAAAGAUUUAUCGCCUUUAGAGCGGCCCGCGUCUGAUUAGCUAGUUGGUGAGGUGAAGGCUCACCAAGGCGACGAUCAGUAGCUGGUCUGAGAGGAUGAUCAGCCACAUUGGGACUAGAGACACGGCCCAAACUCCUACGGGAGGCAGCAGUGGGGAAUCUUGCGCAAUGGGCGAAAGCCUGACGCAGCCAUGCCGCGUGAAUGAUGAAGGUCUUAGGAUUGUAAAAUUCUUUCACCGGGGACGAUAAUGACGGUACCCGGAGAAGAAGCCCCGGCUAACUUCGUGCCAGCAGCCGCAGUAA
rnacentral:rRNA from 1 species